GUAGUUGACUGGUGGCCUUGCCGGCUGAGAACAAUCUCCCUACAGUACGUACUUGCCCGUGCCAACAUUUUAAGGAACGGCAAUGACUACUUAACACUAGAAAGGGGUCCUGAGAAGAGGCAUCCUGGGCCCGUCACCUUGGCACUCACCAUAAGCCGUACAUCCAUUCACCAGCUUGCCCUCCCUCGGCAGCCGGUCACCAACUCGACCUCCCUCACCAGCUAGUCGUCACCAGCCCUUACCAGUCAUUGACUCUCACCAGCCAGAGGCAUAAGGGGCUCACAUUGCCCUUCAGCUAAGCUUUUAAUUAAUGUAACCCAUUCAUAUGAGGAAGGAGAAGUGUACAUUAUAAAACUCUCAUUGUGUCUACACCAUCUGUUUCCUGUGGUUAUACUUUCCUGCAUCAAUUAACUAUAUGUGUUUAAGGUAUUUAGUUUGAGCAUUACACUGCAACUUGUGCAGCAUGCUUUUAUAAAUUUGCUGUUACAGAUUUUUCUCAUUUACUUUUAUUCAGAUAUGCCCAAUUUUCCUGAUACUUAGCCAUCAACAUCUUUUAUGAGUCUUCAAGCCUCUCUCUUAUAAAUCCUUCAUCUGCUUUGCCAUCCAUUAUUGGGUUUCUCAAAGCACUAUCAUCUCUGGAUUUCACUUACAGAACUCACAGACCCACUCUAAAUAUUGCAGAGAAUUUCUGGUGGUAGUAAGUAAUCCAUCUGGGGGACACUCUAGCUACACACUCCACAAUCAGGAUGGAAAAAUUCUGCCACUGUAUUCUUGGCAGAUCAUAAAGCAUGACUAAGAGGGAUGGAGUGAGGGAACUUGAAGACCCCUUCCUUGUAUAUUUUUAUAUCUACAAUGCUAUCCCCCUUUAAGAGAAAUCUCAGUUUGCUAUAUAGAUAUAACUGAACAACAAAGAAUAUACAGGAUGGAGACAUUUAGGAUACAUGGA